UGUGUGCAAACAGGAAGCAGAGAGAUGAAUGUGGUGCUCAAUUUGAUUUCUCUUUAAUUCAUUCCUGGUCUACGGCCCAUUAGGUGUACCACUCCCAUUGAAGAUGGCUCACCUUCCUGCUCAGUUAAACUUUUAGGAAACACCCUCAGACCCAUCAAGGAAACACACUUUCAGGUGUUCUGAAAAGCGUAAUCAGGCACGAAAUCCGCUCUGAAUGUGGAGGCACUGUGUCCCAGGCUGAAGUCAUCUGCCCAUGUGCUGCAGUCAUCUGCUGAACAAGAGAGGUCUGAGCUGUGUUUCUGUAUCAACAAAAAGAACUCCACCUCCCCCACUACCAUGUGUCCUUCUUCAAUCUUCGUUCAUGACACGAACACCUGAACAAUGCGUCUUGGGACCUUAUGAUACCUGCUCAACUAAUAAUCUCAUGACUCACAAGGAAACUGCAUCUUGCUUACAAACAACUCUUCACUGGGAUCUAUUCAAGAAACUGAAGAAAAAUAAAAGAACCAUGUUAAGUAGAAGACAAAGGUUCUACCAUUGAGUUAAGCCACAUUAUGUCUUUGGUUUCUUUUUUAAUCUUUUGUUAAUAUUUAUGUUUAAAAUUUUUAACUAUGCAAUUGUAUCUGUGAGUCAGCAAGAGGGAAUGCCAGGGGAGGCCA